GGUGAGUAACACGUGGGAACAUACCUUGAAGUGGGGGACAACAGUUGGAAACGACUGCUAAUACCGCAUAAUCCCUGAGGGGGAAAGAUUUAUCGCUUUAAGAUUGGCCCGCGGAAGAUUAGGUAGUUGGUGGGGUAAAGGCCUACCAAGCCGACGAUCUAUAGCUGGUCUGAGAGGACGAACAGCCACAUUGGAACUGAGACACGGUCCAGACUCCUACGGGAGGCAGCAGUGAGGAAUAUUGGGCAAUGGAGGAAACUCUGACCCAGCCAUGCCGCGUGAGUGAAGAAGGUUUUCGAAUUGUAAAGCUCUUUCGGAUGGGACGAUGAUGACGGUACCAUCUAAAGAAGCCCCGGCAAACUUCGUGCCAGCAGCCGCGGAAAUACGAAGGGGGCAAGCGUUGUUCGGAAUUACUGGGCGUAAAGGGUGUGUAGGCGGAUUUGUAAGAUAGUGGUGAAAUACCUGAGCUCAACUUAGGAAUUGCCAUUAUAACUAUAGAUCUGGAGUGACAGAGAGGAUAUUGGAAUACCCAGUGUAGAGGUGAAAUUCGUAGAUAUUGGGUAGAACACCAGUGG
rnacentral:rRNA from 1 species